AUUGAACGCUGGCGGCAUGCCUUACACAUGCAAGUCGAACGGCAGCACGGGGGCAACCCUGGUGGCGAGUGGCGAACGGGUGAGUAAUACAUCGGAACGUGUCCUGUUGUGGGGGAUAACUAUUCGAAAGAGUAGCUAAUACCGCAUGACCUCGGGAGAGAAAAGCAGGGGAUCGCAAGACCUUGCGCGAUUGGAGCGGCCGAUGUCCGAUUAGCUAGUUGGCGGGGUAAAGGCCCACCAAGGCGACGAUCGGUAGCUGGUCUGAGAGGAUGAUCAGCCACACUGGGACUGAGACACGGCCCAGACUCCUACGGGAGGCAGCAGUGGGGAAUUUUGGACAAUGGGGGCAACCCUGAUCCAGCCAUGCCGCGUGAGUGAAGAAGGCCUUCGGGUUGUAAAGCUCUUUCGGUGGGAACGAAACGGUUACGACUAAUACUCGUGACUACUGACGGUACUCACAGAAGAAGCACCGGCUAACUACGUGCCAGCAGCCGCCGUAAUAC
rnacentral:rRNA from 1 species